AUUGAACGCUGGCGGCAUGCCUUACACAUGCAAGUCGAACGGCAGCGGGGACUUCGGUCCGCCGGCGAGUGGCGAACGGGUGAGUAAUGUAUCGGAACGUACCAUUGAGUGGGGGAUAACUAUCCGAAAGGAUAGCUAAUACCGCAUAUUCUCUCCGGAGGAAAGCAGGGGACCGCAAGGCCUUGCGCUCAUUGAGCGGCCGAUAUCAGAUUAGUUAGUUGGUGGGGUAAAAGCUCACCAAGGCGACGAUCUGUAGCGGGUCUGAGAGGAUGAUCCGCCACACUGGAACUGAGACACGGUCAAGACUCCUACGGGAGGCAGCAGUGGGGAAUUUUGGACAAUGGGGGCAACCCUGAUCCAGCCAUGCCGCGUGAGUGAAGAAGGCCUUCGGGUUGUAAAGCUCUUUCGGCCGGGAAAAAAUCGCAUGGGCUAAUAUCCUGUGUGGAUGAUGGUACCGGAAUAAGAAGCACCGGCUAACUACGUGCCAGCCGCCGCCGUAA
rnacentral:rRNA from 1 species